rnacentral:rRNA from 1 species
UACGUAGGGGGGCUAGCGUUGUCCGGAAUCAUUGGGCGUAAAGAGCGUGUAGGCGGUCCGGUAAGUCCGCUGUGAAAGUCAAAGGCUCAACCUUUGAAAGCCGGUGGAUACUGUGGGACUAGAGUACGGAAGAGGCGAGUGGAAUUCCUGGUGUAGCGGUGAAAAUGCGCAGAUAUCAGGAAGAACACCAACGGCGAAGGCAGCUCGCUGGGACGGUACUGACGCUGAGACGCGAAAGCGUGGGGAGCGAACAGG